CGGUGCCAUAGUAAAGCACUGAAAGGGAGGCAGAAAAAGUUGGACGAAGAUGGUGACCUUGGUACCUUGUUUCAUCAUUAUAUAAGGCCCCUCCAGCCUCGCCGACCCACGCAAUGGUGGAUGUCCCUGCAGACUUCAGUAUCCCCUGGAGACUGCUGAAUGUGCCGGCCUCACCAUCGAGGUUCCAAGUUUCUGAGGACCUUAUGUACCAAAUUCAUGAUCAGUGACAGAGAGCAUACCAGGGCCUAAAUUGUAGAUAUGGUGAGUGAUCAC